UCCCUGGUAGCUCAGUGGUAAAGAAUCUGCCUGCAAUGCAGGAGACGCAGGAGACUCGGGUUUGAUCCCUGGGUAGGGAA
rnacentral:tRNA from 1 species